UACGUAGGGGGCUAGCGUUGUCCGGAAUCAUUGGGCGUAAAGCGCGUGUAGGCGGUCCGGUAAGUCCGCUGUGAAAGUCGGGGGCUCAACCCUCGGAUGCCGGUGGAUACUGUCGGGCUUGAGUACGGAAGAGGCGAGUGGAAUUCCUGGUGUAGCGGUGAAAUGCGCAGAUAUCAGGAGGAACACCAAUUGCGAAGGCAGCUCGCUGGGACGUUACUGACACUGAGAAGCGAAAGCAUGGGGAGCGAACAGG
rnacentral:rRNA from 1 species